rnacentral:rRNA from 1 species
UACGGAGGGGGCUAGCGUUGUUCGGAAUUACUGGGCGUAAAGGGGACGUAGGCGGCCAACUAAGUCCGACGUGAAAUCCCAAGGCUUAACCUUGGAACUGCGUCGGAUACUGGAUGGCUUGAAUUCGGGAGAGGGAUGCAGAAUUCCAGGUGUAGCGGUGAAAUGCGUAGAUAUCUGGGAGAUACCGGUGGCGAAGGCGGCAUCCUGGACCGACAUUGACGCUGAAAGCCGAAAGCUAGGGGAGCAAACGGG